rnacentral:rRNA from 1 species
UCCGUAGGUGACCUGCGGAGGGAUCAUUACCGAGUUUACAACUCCCAAACCCCUGUGAACAUACCAAUUGUUGCCUCGGCGGAUCAGCCCGCUCCCGGUAAAACGGGACGGCCCGCCAGAGGACCCCUAAACUCUGUUUCUAUAUGUAACUUCUGAGUAAAACCAUAAAUAAAUCAAAACUUUCAACAACGGAUCUCUUGGUUCUGGCAUCGAUGAAGAACGCAGCAAAAUGCGAUAAGUAAUGUGAAUUGCAGAAUUCAGUGAAUCAUCGAAUCUUUGAACGCACAUUGCGCCCGCCAGUAUUCUGGCGGGCAUGCCUGUUCGAGCGUCAUUUCAACCCUCAAGCCCCCGGGUUUGGUGUUGGGGAUCGGCGAGCCCUUGCGGCAAGCCGGCCCCGAAAUCUAGUGGCGGUCUCGCUGCAGCUUCCAUUGCGUAGUAGUAAAACCCUCGCAACUGGUACGCGGCGCGGCCAAGCCGUUAAACCCCCAACUUCUGAAUGUUGACCUCGGAUCAGGUAGGAAUACCCGCUGAACUUAAGCAUAUCAAUAAGCGGAGGA